GAUGAACGCUAGCGGCAGGCCUAAUACAUGCAAGACGAACGGUAAGUUGAGUAGCAAUACUUAGCCAAGAGUGUCGUACGGGUGCGUAACACGUAUGCAACCUACCCUAUACAGGAGGAUAGCCUAGGGAAACCUGGAUUAACCCUUCAUAGUAUUAUUGGAUGGCAUCAUUUGAUAAUUAAAACUGAGGUGGUAUAGGAUGGGCAUGCGUCUGAUUAGUUAGUUGGCGGGGUAAUGGCCCACCAAGACGAUGAUCAGUAGGGGUUCUGAGAGGAAGAUCCCCCACACUGGCACUGAGAUACGGGCCAGACUCCUACGGGAGGCAGCAGUAGGGAAUAUUGGUCAAUGGAUGCAAGUCUGAACCAGCCAUGCCGCGUGCAGGAAGAAGGCCUUUCUGGGGUUGUAAACUGCUUUUGCCAGGGGAUAAAAUUUCCAUGCGUGGAAAACUGAAGGUACCUGGUGAAUAAGCCACGGCUAACUACGUGCCAGCAGCCGCGGUAAUC
rnacentral:rRNA from 1 species